rnacentral:rRNA from 1 species
AUGAUCAUCUCCAAGAAGAACCGCCGCGAGAUCUGCAAGUACCUCUUCCAGGAGGGAGUCUUGUACGCCAAGAAGGACUACAACCUGGCCAAGCACCCCCAGGUCGAUGCCUUGAACCUCGAGGUCAUCAAGCUCAUGCAGAGCUUCAAGUCCAAGGAGUACGUCAGGGAGACAUUUUUGUGGCAGCACUACUACUGGUACCUGGCUAACGACGACAUUGAGUUCCUCCGCACCUUCCCCAACCUGUCAUCUGAGAUCGUGCCCAAUCGAUCCUGUGAUCUGCGUGCAGAUGACGGAGGCGGACAAGGAUUCCCGAAAUGCCCGACUCCAGCCCCGUCCUCCCCAACGCCUGGUCAUGGCCCUGUGCAUGGCGGACGCGGCUUGGUCGCUUCCUCCAAGAACCUUGUCCCCUCGAUCUUGGUGCGGCAGGGGGCGCAUCCACCAGAUCCGCCGGCGGACAUCAAGGCCAUCGCUUGGACCUUGCUGCCCUCUACCAAGGAAGGAGCGAGCUCGUGCAGAUGA